GACGAACGCUGGCGGCGUGCUUAACACAUGCAAGUCGAACGGAAAGGCCCUGCUUGCCGGGUACUCGAGUGGCGAACGGGUGAGUAACACGUGGGUGAUCUGCCCUGCACUUCGGGAUAAGCUUGGGAAACUGGGUCUAAUACCGGAUAGGACCGCACUUUAGUGUGUGUGGUGGAAAGUUUUUUCGGUGUAGGAUGAGCUCGCGGCCUAUCAGCUUGUUGGUGGGGUAAUGGCCUACCAAGGCGGCGACGGGUAGCCGGCCUGAGAGGGUGUACGGCCACAUUGGGACUGAGAUACGGCCCAGACUCCUACGGGAGGCAGCAGUGGGGAAUAUUGCACAAUGGGCGCAAGCCUGAUGCAGCGACGCCGCGUGGGGGAUGAAGGCCUUCGGGUUGUAAACUCCUUUCGCUAGGGACGAAGCUUUGUUGUGACGGUACCUAGAGAAGAAGCACCGGCUAACUACGUG
rnacentral:rRNA from 1 species